AUGUGUGUAAUAAGAAAAAAAGAGGUGCACUUAAAAUAUAAGGGCAUAGGCUUCCGAGUGGUACAACUGGUCCUCCUAACCCAUCCAGUCCACUACUGCCACCUCAAACUCUCUUCAGAGAAAUGGGAUCCUUCUGCUGUUCUGCUGGCACUACAAAACACCAGGCAUGACUUCUACCACCCACCCCAGGCUUCGGGGAUCAGUCUCUUUGCUGUGAAAGGCCCUGACUAUGGAGUACCCUCUGCUCCCAUACCCACAGUGUGGCCCAGCUCCUUCUCAGGGGUUCCCAGCCCCGCCUCUUCCUCCAACAAUUUGGUGAUGAUGUUCCUGCUCCACCUCUCCUUGAUGAGACCCUGUAGACAGCAUGUGUGGCAGCUAGCAGUGAGAACCAGGCCCUGCUUGGACUGUUUUUCAGAUUGUUUCUGCCCUUGUGACCUUCAGUUUCCCAAUAAUCAUACAGACCCUGUGUCUGAUAUUUCUACCCUGGGAUGACAGUAUAUGACACCAAGGACCCAGGAUAAAGCCUAGAAAUUCCCAUUUCCCACCUCCAACCCUGUCCUGCGAUGACCAUGAUAGGACAUCAAACUCACCAUCUCCAACUAGCUGCUCCUACCUCAGGUUCUAAUUCCUCCAAACUCAGGAGGAAGGUGUGCAGGGGUACUCAUGAUGGUAUCUGUUCUGUGUAUUGCUGCGCCCCUCCCCUGACUCAGGCAAUGGCAAGGCCCUACUGAGGUGGAUGGAGCAAGGCGUCCAUCCUCUGGAGGAGCGCAGUAUGUUUCUGGGAAUGGGCUGAUUUGUUUUUGUAUUCCUUUAAUAAGUAUGGUUUGGAUUUCUCAUAUGACCAUUAAGUAUAAAGGAAAAAUCAUGACUUUCCCAAUUAAUGUAACUACUUCUAAAGCAUAGAUCUGUUUGCUCUAAAUGCAAUGAUUCAGCUGUGGAGUGUAAAUUGUUAAUGUCUACAGAAAAACUCCCUGUAUUCCUGUCAAGGAAGUUUUUGAGAAAUUAAAUUAAAAUCUAGAGAAGAAAAAUUAAUGUUAAGAAGAUAGAUUAGUGCUUAGUACUGGGCAACUUGUUCUUGUUCCUGUGCACAAUGGUUUGUGCUCUUACUUUUGUUUGAUUAAAAAUAAUAACAAGUCAACCCCUUGCCGUAACCAUGGCACCGGUUCCAGUCAGUAAGUCAAGAAAGAAUAGUCAAGGUAUAGGCCAAUAGUUUGGGACAUUUGUAACUAUUAUUAAAAGUUAACUAAGCAGAAACUGCUCAAAGCAAAACGCGAACUGAAAGUACAAAUGCUUGCUUAUGCAUAAGCCAAGAUACAUUCUUCUAUUCUAAUUGUAGCUAUGUAAUAUUUUGUUUUGUUUGAAUAAUGAUUCCUGUUUUGUAACCACAAAGUACUGUAAGCCUGCCAAAAUGAAAAGUAUAUAUGAUCAACUUCACAAGUAAAGAUUGGGAUCAACACCUUCACUUUGGUGUCUGUGUUGUUUCUCCACCCCCUCUUU
rnacentral:lncRNA from 1 species